UCAGAAAUGUAUAUUUUGAAAUUGUCUGAUUUAAAAAGGUCAACCCUGUUACUUUAUUUGGGCACUUCAAAACACAUUUUAUUUGUCACAUGCGCCGAAUACAACAGGUGUUAAACUUAACCGUGAAAUGCUUGCUUACAGCCCUUCCCAACAAUGCAAAGUUAAAAACAAAUAUGGGGAUUGUAACAAGAGGAAUAGAAUACACAAUAAUGAAGCAAUAUACAGGGAGUACCAGAUCAAUGUGCAGCUAUAUACAGGGAGUACCAGAUCAAUGUGCAGCUAUAUACAGGGAGUACCAGAUCAAUGUGCAGCUAUAUACAGGGAGUACCAGAUCAAUGUGCAGCUAUAUACAGGGAGUACCAGAUCAAUGUGCAGCUAUAUACAGGGAGUACCAGAUCAAUGUGCAGCAAUAUACAGGGAGUACCAGUACCAGAUCAAUGUGCAGCUAUAUACAGGGAGUACCAGAUCAAUAUGCAGCUAUAUACAGGGAGUACCAGAUCAAUGUGCAGCAAUAUACAGGGAGUACCAGAUCAAUGUGCAGCAAUAUACAGGGAGUACCAGAUCAAUGUGCAGCUAUAUACAGGGAGUACCAGUACCAGAUCAAUGUGCAGCUAUAUACAGGGAGUACCAGAUCAAUAUGCAGCUAUAUACAGGGAGUACCAGAUCAAUAUGCAGCUAUAUACAGGGAGUACCAGAUCAAUGUGCAGCUAUAUACAGGGAGUACCAGAUCAAUAUGCAGCUAUAUACAGGGAGUACCAGAUCAAUAUGCAGCAAUAUACAGGGAGUACCAGAUCAAUGUGCAGCUAUAUACAGGGAGUACCAGAUCAAUGUGGAGCAAUAUACAGGGAGUACCAGAUCAAUGUGGAGCUAUAUACAGGGAGUACCAGAUCAAUGUGGAGCUAUAUACAGGGAGUACCAGAUCAAUGUGCAGCUGUAUACAGGGAGUACCAGAUCAAUGUGGAGCUAUAUACAGGGAGUACCAGAUCAAUGUGGAGCUAUAUACAGGGAGUACCAGAUCAAUGUGCAGCUGUAUACAGGGAGUACCAGUACCAGAUCAAGGAGAUAAAUGUGCAGGAUAAAGUGACUAGGCAUCAGGACAGACAAUAAUAAAAUAAAGUACAGAGUAGCAGCAGAUGAGUGGAACAGUGUGUGUAUAUAUGCUUCCUAAAUGGCUUACUAUAGUCAUUUAUUUGUUUUACAUCUUUAGACGAGAAAACAUGUUUUUAUCAAGUUGUGUUGACAGAAUGUUAACAUUAGUUGAAAUAAAAAUUACACUAACCAAAAUAUACUCAAUUGGUGGCAGAACCCACACACUCAGUCCUCAGCCCUAGGCUCAAUGCCAACAAGGUGUCCACACUCACUAUGUCCUCUGUAUGCUGUUCUAACCCAUCUAUGAAAGGGUGUGACACACUCUUGGUUGGAAUGAGGUCCAUGUCCGUCUCAGCUUUUCUCUUCCUUGGAGAAAAGGUCAGUGGAAGGCCUUUAUCCUGUGGAACAUGGGCCUUCAUAUCCAGCAACACGCUUCUGAGCUGUGAAGACAGAUCAGUCACGUACUGUUCCUCUUGGAGAUGAUAAGUGAGUUCUGUGAUCUCUUUAAGAUAUCCUGCACAUUGCCUCCGUAACCGCAACAGCUUCCUAGAGGACCUGUUCUUUCCUCUUCCAGAUGGACCUUCGUAUGGACGGUCAAUGUUGGAGUCUCUGGUGGCCUGCUUGGUCUUAAACAUGACAUUUCUUAUGUCACUGUCAGUGGGGUAAUAGCGCCUGCGAGUAGGUGGAGGGGGCUGCUCUCCAUGGAAAAGCUCUUCCACUACAAAGGUGUUCAGAUGAACCUUCAUUUCAGUCAUCUUUCUCACACCAGACAGAGUCAGCUGCUCAAUCUUCUCUCUCAGCCUGGCAUCUACAGCUUCCCUAACAUAAGCUGCCUGUUGGAGAAAC
rnacentral:lncRNA from 1 species